rnacentral:rRNA from 1 species
AUACGGAGGGUGCAAGCGUUACUCGGAAUCACUGGGCGUAAAGCGCGCGCAGGCGGGCUGAUAAGUUGGAUGUGAAAGCCUACGGCUCAACCGUAGAACUGCAUCCAAAACUGUCAGUCUAGAGUGUGGGAGAGGAAGAUGGAAUUAGUUGUGUAGGGGUAAAAUCCGUAGAGAUAACUAGGAAUACCAAAAGCGAAGGCAAUCUUCUGGAACACUACUGACGCUCAGGCGCGAAGGCGUGGGGAGCAAACAGGAUUAGAAACCCCAGUAGUCC